rnacentral:rRNA from 1 species
AUGAACGCUGGCGGCGUGCCUAAUACAUGCAAGUCGAGCGAACAGAUGAGGAGCUUGCUCCUCUGACGUUAGCGGCGGACGGGUGAGUAACACGUGGAUAACCUACCUAUAAGACUGGGAUAACUUCGGGAAACCGGAGCUAAUACCGGAUAAUAUAUUGAACCGCAUGGUUCAAUAGUGAAAGACGGUUUUGCUGUCACUUAUAGAUGAAUCCGCGCCGCAUUAGCUAGUUGGUAAGGUAACGGCUUACCAAGGCAACGAUGCGUAGCCGACCUGAGAGGGUGAUCGGCCACACUGGAACUGAGACACGGUCCAGACUCCUACGGGAGGCAGCAGUAGAGAAUCUUCCGCAAAGGGCGAAAGCCUGACGGAGCAACGCCGCGUGAGUGAUGAAGGUCUUCGGAUCGUAAAACUCUGUUAUUAGGGAAGAACAAAUGUGUAAGUAACUAUGCACGUCUUGACGGUACCUAAUCAGAAAGCCACGGCUAACUACGUG